GUUGCGAAUCCUGAAGGGGGGUGAUAAUGGUCUGCUCUGGUAAAUCUAGCAUAUAUACAUGUACGUGCAUAUACCGUAAAUAGGGACGGGAUUUCAACCAAUUAUAAGCCGCGAAAAACAAUAUAGCAUACGUAGUCAAAAUAUCAUGUGCGAAAUUCACGGCAAUUUUACGGAAAAAAUUGGGGGCUAUGUAUGAUACAUACAUGUAUAAUUAUAUGCACUGUACGUGGUUGUGCUGAUGAUGUAACUAUUUCUCACCUGUCUCUCUAGCAGACAUCUCCUCUUUGGAGUAGGGGGCGAGUCGGACUCUUGCAGCCUGUCCUGUUCAGAGUAGUCCUGUAUAUAGUUUCCACUCUAUCACUAAGUACAUACAGCAAGGGUGUACAAACCUCUGAGUCCUUUGUUGGGGUGAGAGGCGAGUCUUCCAUGCUGGACAUCGCAGACUUAUCUUUGCACCUGGAAUAUCUUGCUCUGUGAGAUCAACUUGCUGAGUUUGGUUCGUCGAGGGAGUUCCUGGUCCACCUCCCCCCCAGAGGAGAGACAACCACACCUACCCACACUACUAUGCCAGCCAUGUAUCUCAACUGUGUGAGUCGGCUCCGGGUAUCUAAGAUUUGAACUAGUAUACAGGUCGUCCUCAAGCUCGCUGACAGUGUCCAUGAGUCCAAGCAGCUCCAUUUCUAUUCACAAGUUAUGAAAAAUAAGGUAAGUGAGAUGAUUAUAUCUAUCCAUGAUUGCAUGUUGUGAUGUUGUGAUGAUUGUUGUAUAUACAUACAAAUUGUGUCAGCUAGAUCUGUCUUGUUCCCUGCCAGGUGUAUUAAUAGUGAUUGUGAUUGCGUACCUGCGUACUUACAGAUCAGACAAACACACAAGAGGACUCUCAAGCUGACUCUCAAGCUGAAGAGAUUUUGUUCCUGGUUGGCUGUGGUUUUGUUAAACCUGCCCUAGGAAAUCAUUCAAUUAAGCAAAGUUCUGAUGCUGUCAAUUCAAAAAAGAAGACGGACCAG